AGAGUGUUAGCACAGUGGUUAGAGUAUAUGCUUUGCAUGCAUGAGGUCCUGGGUUCAAUCCCCAGUAACUCCA
rnacentral:tRNA from 1 species